CUCCGGUUGAUCCUGUUGGACCCGACUGCUAUCAGAGUGGGACUAAGCCAUGCGAGUCAACAUAGCAAUAUGUGGCAUACGGCUCAGUAACACGUAGUCAACAUGCCCAGGGGACGUGGAUAACCUCGGGAAACUGAGGAUAAACCGCGAUAGGUCAUCACUUCUGGAAUGGGUAAUGACUUAAAUCUAUAUGGCCCCUGGAUUGGACUGCGGCCGAUCAGGCUGUUGGUGAGGUAAUGGCCCACCAAACCUGUAACCGGUACGGGCUCUGAGAGGAGGAGCCCGGAGAUGGGCACUGAGACAAGGGCCCAGGCCCUAUGGGGCGCAGCAGGCGCGAAACCUCUGCAAUAGGCGAAAGCUUGACAGGGUUACUCUGAGUGAUUUCCGUUAAGGAGAUCUUUUGGCACCUCUAAAAAUGGUGCAGAAUAAGGGGUGGGCAAGUCUGGUGUCAGCCGCCGCGGUAAUACCAGCACCCCGAGUGGUCGGGACGUUUAUUGGGCCUAAAGCAUCCGUAGCCGGUUCUACAAGUCUUCCGUUAAAUCCACCUGCUUAACAGAUGGGCUGCGGAAGAUACUAUAGAGCUAGGAGGCGGGAGAGGCAAGCGGUACUCGAUGGGUAGGGGUAAAAUCCGUUGAUCCAUUGAAGACCACCAGUGGCGAAGGCGGCUUGCCAGAACGCGCUCGACGGUGAGGGAUGAAAGCUGGGGGAGCAAACCGGAUUAGAUACCCGGGUAGUCCCAGCUGUAAACGAUGCAGACUCGGUGAUGAGUUGGCUUCUUGCCAACUCAGUGCCGCAGGGAAGCCGUUAAGUUUGCAGCCUGGGGAGUACGGUCGCAAGACUGAAACUUAAAGCAAUAAGCGGGGGAGCA
rnacentral:rRNA from 1 species